AGCGAACGCUGGCGGCAGGCCUAACACAUGCAAGUCGAACGGAUCCUUCGGGAUUAGUGGCGGACGGGUGAGUAACACGUGGGAACGUGCCCUUUGGUUCGGAACAACUCAGGGAAACUUGAGCUAAUACCGGAUGUGCCCUUCGGGGGAAAGAUUUAUCGCCAUUGGAGCGGCCCGCGUCUGAUUAGCUAGUUGGGGAGGUAAAGGCUCACCAAGGCGACGAUCAGUAGCUGGUCUGAGAGGAUGAUCAGCCACAUUGGGACUGAGACACGGCCCAAUCUCCUACGGGAGGCAGAAGUGGGGAAUCUUGCGCAAUGGGGGAAAACAUGACGAAGCAAUGCCGAGUGAAUGAUGAAGGUCUUAGGAUUGUAAAAUUCUUUCACCGGGGACGAUAAUGACGGUACCCGGAGAAGAAGCCCCGGCUAAGUUCGUGCAAGCCACCGCCGUAACAC
rnacentral:rRNA from 1 species